GUUACAGCAUAUAAAUCGGUAAUUCUCAGCUAGUAGGCACAAAACAGGACAAAUGGCCUAGUUUAUGUUCUCAAAUGUAUCAUGUUAACAAUACUAAACGCAAAUGACUGUUGCCCGGAGUCGAGUUUUGAUAUCUUCAUCACAAAAUGAAUGAAUUACUG